AUUGGGUAGCAUAAUGGUAUGCGGCAGGUCUCCAAAACCUUGCAUGGAGAGGGUUCAAUUCCCUCACCCUUUGCCA
rnacentral:tRNA from 1 species